rnacentral:lncRNA from 1 species
GUCCCCGAGACCCAAGCGCCCUGGGCGAAGCCACCGCGGGGAGGACCUGCGCUCGCGGGGGCUGCUGCGCUCUGCGCUGGGGCCUCUCGGGCUGGGAAUGCGUGGCCCGGCUUUUGAGGAUUUCCUCGGUCCCCGGGCGGAAAUAGCUGGAAUGGAGGGGCCUCUCGAUUGGAGACUUACUGGUCAAAUAUUUACUUUUGUUGAUCACUGGAAACGCUACCUACCACGCAUUGACUAGGACCACAAAAACCACGACUUCCUGGAAAAGUCUUCACCGUAAAUAUUAAUCUCUUUGGCAUGAAGAGGAAAACACUGCAGCUAAUUUUUCAUGGGAUAACAAAAAUAUAAACUGCAAUUUCUUUUAUUUUUUCCCUUUCGAUGGUCUUUUUAAACGAGGAGUAAAGAUUUCAACGCCAGGUCCAUUUUCCAAAUUUUGUACCAGAACCUUGAGGAUGCUUGUCUCUCGCGCGCUUCUCCGCAGACCGAACCCUCUCCGGAACUCAGAGCUGUUCACCCAAGUCAGCGGAGGAGGCCUCCUGGGACUUGAGCCUGAGGGUGGCGAAGAACCCUAGGCAGAGAUCAUCAACUUGGUACCGAUGAGUGACGCGGAGCUUGAACAUUCCAGCGACUUGCUCCAGGGCCACUCCCAGUUAAGAGGCUGAGUGUUAACUGCAAGAGGCUGAGUGUUAACUACGCCGUUGGCUCCAGGAACCGAACCGGGUUUGGAUACAGACCCAGUCACACCAUCCAUGAAAAGCUGUUUCUAUAAUAUGAAAAAUUGUUAAAUGACGCUUUAGUAAAAGCCAUUUAAAGAUCUUUUCUAAUAAAUUUUUCAUCUUUCCAAACAAUGCCGCUAAUUACCUUCUGAUACAGUGCGUUUCCAAAAUGUUUAUGAACUGAAAACAAAAAUAAAAAACUACAUUUUUAUGUUGUAAAGGGAGUGGGGGGGACUUUCUAAAAUUUGUCGUAUUAUAGCACUUCUCAUGACAACUUGACCCUUUAGGCAUAAUUUUUGACAAAAUGUCUUGUUCUUUUUCUUUUUACAGCUGAACGUCUUAAAUUCAAGGAGUAAACACAUAUAAUGAGAUAAAAGUUUAUCACUGUUAGCACAACCAAUAAUUUGCAUCGUAGUCUCAAUUUCCUCGAAUCUUUAAUAAAACCAAAGUGGUCAAGUGUUUAAAUGAUUAUACAGAUUGAGUACCCCUUAUCCAAAAUGCUUGGGACCAGAAAUAUUUUGGAUUCUGGAUUUUCUUGGAUUUUGCAAUAGUUGCAUAGACGUAACGAGAGAUCUUUGGGGAUGGAACUCAAGCCUAAACAUGAAAUUUAUUUAUGUUUUCUAUAUGCCUUAUACACAUGGCCUGAAGGUAAUUUUAUACAAUAUUUUAGAUAAUUUUGUGCAUGAAACAAAGUUUUGACUGCACUUUGACUGCAAGUCAUCACAUGAGGUCAGGUGUGGAAUUCGCCA